GUCCUGACAUAACAGAAUAUAGGAACAAUCCAAAACAUAAAAUCAAGGUUUAUUUACAAAACAGAAACAGAAACCUAAAAAUAAGUUUGAUAGACAGCAGACAACAACGACCCCUGAAAUACAGAGUCCUGACGUUAGACAGGCACAUAUAAUAAGUAAUAAAUGUGUUGGAAUUUAACCAGUUUUGGGACACUUCAUCCUUCCUUAACCUGAGAUAAUUGUGAAGGAACACAACAUAUGAAUAAGCUCCUGUUUUCCAUGUUUAACCUGUAGAUUAAACUCUCGAUCGGCGGAAUAACAAAAUUAAUGAAGUCAUAUAUAAUAAAACUUGAAGAAAACUAUAUAAUUGGGGAUUUAAAGAUAAUCCAAAACAUAAUUCUAAUAAACUCAUCAUAUACACCAGUAUUUAAAUUUUGUAUUUGGCUAGACGCGCAUUUCGUCUACGAAAGAUUCACCAGUGACGCUCGAAUAUAAAAAGACCAAAUAAAGUACGAAGUUGCAGAUCAUUGAGGACGAAAAACUCAUAAAAUUUGGUCAAAUACAGCUACGGUAAGCUAUUCCUGAGUACUGAAAGCCUUAGUAUUUCAAACAUUAAAAGUUUUCUAAACAGUUCAUUUCAUGUCAACACAGAAGAGCUAGACUACUUGACUGGUAAUAUCCUCAACAGGAGAAAGGGAACUAUACACACAUUCUUAGUUAUCAAAUAAACAUCUACCCAACUCCCCAAUCCCAGUAACUGAAAGAAGAAAUUCUGGUAAAAAAAUACUCGAUAACUGUGCCAGAAAAAGGGUAAAUAGUUAUCAAAGGUACCUGGAUUUUAAUUUAAUACGCCAGACGCGCGUUUCGUCUACAUAAGACUCAUGAGCAAGAUGGACCUUCACUUGACUCUAUCUGUAUCAAGGUUGUUUCAUCUUGAAAUUUUUAGCACAUACAAUAAUCUAAAUGUAAAAUGAACACAUUGAUUUCUAAUCCCUUCAAAGAGUCUGAGGCUUUAUCCUCUCUGAUGUUAACAAAACGAUGAAUCGUAAGAAGACUAACGAUUAUCCAAUACCAGGAAUGAGGUACCUUAGAUGUACUAGGCAAAACCUAUCAGAAUUUUCGGUCAUAAAUGCUCGUCAAUUUCCCAUUUUAUUUUGAUUUUGAUCUUUUAUAUUUUGAGCCUCACGAAUGGGUCUUUCAUAAACGAAACUUGCGUAUGGCGUACUUAAUGUUAAGCCUGGUAAUUGUUAUAAGUUUUUUUUUAAUACAUGAUGUCUUGGUCGCAUGACUUUUGACGUGUGCAUCUAACUUUCCAAUUUAUGGGUUGUUCUGAUAUUGGUGAGUUUAUAUUAAACACUAUAUACCAUAUCGCUAUUAAGUCCCAUCCGAGAAACCUCGUCACGUUGACAACUUCUUGUGUGUGUCGAGUGUUGCUGAAACAAAGGUCAUCGGUGACGAGCUGCGGUCCGACAAAGUUCAAACGUUAAAAAUAGGAUAUAAUCUUUUUAUGCAUAAAUCAAAAUCAGAAAAAAUGCCUUGAUUGAACUAUUUACGAUGAUUAAAUAUGUGUUUUUGAUGCUCAUGUUUAUGCAGAAUACAUUGUUUUAAAAGGGCACCAGAUAGAUUCAACAAAAAGUUUGUUUAAUUCUGGAUUGGAUUAGAUGAUGAAUCAGCUGUAACAAAAAAAACUUGUACGAUUUGCUAUAUUUAUUCCCAAUACUUCAUACAAUUCUGGAUUGGAUUAGAUGAUGAGAGACUGUAUGUUUUGUAAGAUUGCAUGCUACAGAUAUAUACUUUGAAAUGAAACAAGGCUGGGACACUACCUCAUGGGAUACUAAUCAUGUAGGUUUACAAAAAUUUACCAAAUUAAUGAAAAUUGUUAAAAAAAUUACUAUAAAGGGCAAUAACUCCUUAAGGGGUCAACUGACCGUUUUGGUCAUGUUGAUUUAUUUGUAGAUCUUACUUUGCUGAACAUUAUUGCUGUUUGCAGUUUAUCUCUAUCUAUAAUAGUAUAUUGGUAUAUAAAUGUCUAAAUAAACAUACUACUGGGUUAGUAUUGAAUCACCUGGUAAAGGAUGGUGUCUAUCAAAUAACUUUAAAAUACAAUCUGUACAAACUGUUUUCGCUAGAGUAAAAAAUUACACCCUUUACACAACAUAUAUGAAUAUGAAGCAGCUGUAACAUUUACAAAAAUUUACCAAAUUAAUGAAAAUUGUUAAAAAAUUACUAUAAAGGGCAAUAACUCCUUAAGGGGUCAACUGACCGUUUUGGUCAUGUUGAUUUAUUUGUAGAUCUUACUUUGCUGAACAUUAUCGCUGUUUGCAGUUUAUCUCUAUCUAUAAUAGUAUCCAAGAUAAU
rnacentral:lncRNA from 1 species